CCCGCGCGCCCGCGCGGCGGAGGAGAGGUGAUAAAUGUGAUGCUUCUAUAAUACAUUUGGAUGUUGUCAGCUAAGUUCACUUAGGAACUAAGGGGUUCCUCCAAAUGUUGGCUGAAAUUUGUCCUUGCACAUCCCAAGGCUCGUCUGCAAAGUCUACAAUUCAUAAUGGAGCUACUGUACUGGCUAUUGGAAAGAGGAGAUUCUGAAGAUAAGGAGGUAAAACCUGUUUAGAAAUUAAAAAUGAGUUACGAUUUAAAGAAAAUUCAGAUGACUCAUUGUGAGUGCUAGUUCUCUUGUAGGAUGCCACUGGAAAUGUUGAAAUGAAAAAUAUUCAGCCGUCGGUCUUUGAAAUUUCCUGUGAUGUGUUUCAAUCUAGAUGCAAAGAACAUGGAAAAAUCAAAGUGCUCGAGUGGUUUAAAUACGUUUUGGAUGUUCCUGUUUAUAGACUAUAAUACUUUUCCAAUUAAAAUCCUCAGUUGUCAUGCAGAAGAAGGUUAAGCUCUACUUGAUUGCCAGUUUUACUGAAAAUGCUUAGUAUUUUACAGUAUCACCAAAUAUAUUUUGUUUAGCCAAGGUAUAGGAAAAAUAAAAUAAAUUGUAUAGGUUGACUUUUUUCUAAAAUGUCUUUAUUGGAUAGAAUGAAUGUUUAUACCUGAAAAAAGAUUC
rnacentral:lncRNA from 1 species